rnacentral:misc_RNA from 1 species
GAUGAAGAACGUAGCGAAAUGCGAUAAGUAGUGUGAAUUGCAGAAUUCAGUGAAUCAUCGAAUCUUUGAACGCACAUUGCGCCCCAUGGUAUUCCGUGGGGCAUGCCUGUUCGAGCGUCAUUUACCCCCUCAAGCUCCGCUUGGUGUUGGGCGUCUGUCCCGCUUCGCGCGCGGACUCGCCCCAAAGGUAUUGGCAGCGGUCGUGCCAGCUUCUCGCGCAGCACAUUGCGCUUCUCGAGGCACCGGUGGGCCCGCGUCCAUCAAGCUCACCCCCCCAGUUUGACCUCGUAUCAGGUAGGGAUACCCGCUGAACUUAAGCAUAUCAAUAAGCGGAGGA